CCUACGUGAGGCAGCAGUGAGGAAUAUUGGUCAAUGGGCGCGAGCCUGAACCAGCCAAGUAGCGUGAAGGAUGACUGCCCUACGGGUUGUAAACUUCUUUUAUACAGGAAUAAAGUGAGGCACGUGUGCCUUUUUGUAUGUACUUUAUGAAUAAGGAUCGGCUACCUCCGUUCCAGCAGCCGCGGUAAUACGGAGGAUCCGAGCGUUGUCCGGAUUUCUUGGGUGUAAAGGGAGCGGAGAUGGGUUGUUAAGUCAGGUGUGAAAGUUUGCGGCUCAACCGUAAAAUUGCAAUUGAUACUGGCAGUCUUGAGUACAGGUGAGGUAGGCGGAAUUCGUGGUGUAGCGGUGAAAUGCUUAGAUAUCACGAAGAACUCCGAUUGCGAAGGCAGCUUACUAAACUGCCACUGACAUUGAUGCUCGAAAGUGUGGGUAUCAAACAGGAUUAGAUACCCCAGUAGUC
rnacentral:rRNA from 1 species